UGGGAACUUUGGUCUUCAAAA
rnacentral:piRNA from 1 species